rnacentral:lncRNA from 1 species
CCUCCCCACACUCAGUCCCCCUCCUUGCCCCCAGCACCCCGCCCCCCGCCCCCCAGAACCUUCACCCACCCUACCCCCAGCACACGUCCUCUCACCUCCCAGCACCCCUGCCUCCUCUCCUGUGCCCGCUCUGCCCUGCUCUGCACAGCUGCCCACAGCUUCUCUGGGGUGCGACCUGGGCCUGUCCAGCGACGGGGUGAGAGGCACCUGGGGUGACUUCGCCCGCUGCCCACACCAGGCCUGGGGGCUGCCCGGACUUUUCCAGGCUUUUCCAGGCAGAAGGAACAGCAGGAAGGAAAACCGUGUGUUCCAUGGAGGGAGCAGGACUUGGAGAGGUGGUCACACAGGCGUGGGAGAGACUGAAGGCCAAAUGGUAGGAGCCGCUCCCAUCCUGGGUCUGGAAGGCCAAGCAAGGAGGUGGUGGCCCACGGCCUGGCCCAGGCUGCUGGCAGGAGCCAGGCCAAGAGGACACCCUGUCCUGCAGGAGCUGGAGUGGGGACCUCGGCCCAGACACGGCCCCACAGGCGUGCUGCCCACUCAGAGAGGGGACGGCUGGGUGCUCUGCGCCCCUGCCCUGCGGGCUGCCCUCUGAGCCUCUCAGUGGCUGAAUCAAGCACAGACCGUGGUCAAGGGGUCUGGGAACAGGGUCUGAGGGCAGCCCCCCGAGACCCAGGCUGAGCAGCACAGUGCAGGCCAGAGUGACAGCAAGCCGGCAGAGGACUGGCCCUGGCCACUGCGUUUAACUGCCAUGUGACAAGCCCUUGUGCUGCUGCCCAACAGGCCACAACUUCCCACUGAAUGUACAAACGGGGCUCCUGCCCCCGGAUAGGAGACUUCCUCCUCUGCCAGUAAAUUCAACAUCGGCCGCGACGGCCCCUGGAUAUUCUGUAACUUAAAACUACGAAGUCAAACACCCCCCAGAAAUAGUGAGGGCAGGACAGAGGGCGAAAGAAAGACCUGUGGUGACGGACCAUGCAGUGAGACAUGUGGGCUCCGCGUCUCUGCUUCUGCUUUGCUUGAGAGGCUGUGUGGACAUCCGUGGCCCCCUGCUCAGGCGGGCUUCUCCUCCACGCAGUGCUGGGAGUCAUGGC